rnacentral:rRNA from 1 species
UACGGGGGGGGCAAGCGUUGUUCGGAAUUACUGGGCGUAAAGGGCUCGUAGGCGGCCAACUAAGUCCGACGUGAAAUCCCCAGGCUUAACCUGGGAACUGCGUCGGAUACUGGAUGGCUUGAAUUCGGGAGAGGGAUGCAGAAUUCCAGGUGUAGCGGUGAAAUGCGUAGAUAUCUGGAGGAACACCGGUGGCGAAGGCGGCAUCCUGGACCGACACUGACACUGAGGAGCGAAAGCCAGGGGAGCAAACGGG